AUUCAAAUUUCACCCUCUUCCUGUCAACCGAUUAAUCUGAAAUUUUGUAUAAACUUUGGAUUUUGGUGACAAUACAAUUAUGUUUAUUCAUUAUCAUUAUAAAUUCAAGAUGGCCACCGCUACAAAAUGGCGGAUAAUUUAUGUUUUAUUAAUCCCAUCAAUAUGGGUAUCAAAUGAAAGGGCUCAACAAGCAGAAUACAAUAUACUAUAAAAAAUUGAAAUCAAAGAUGGCGGCCGCUACAAAAUGGCGGAUAACGUAGGUUUUAUCGAUCCCAUCAAUAUGGGUAUCAAAUGAAAGUGCUCAACCAGUAUAAUCAAUGUACUAUAUAAAAUUAAAAUCCAAGAUGGCGGCCUCUACAAAAUGGCGGAUAACUUAGGUUU
rnacentral:misc_RNA from 1 species